AGGGGAGCGUUCUGUAAGCCUGUGAAGGUGGCCUGUGAGGGUUGCUGGAGGUAUCAGAAGUGCGAAUGCUGACAUAAGUAACGAUAAAGCGGGUGAAAAGCCCGCUCGCCGGAAGACCAAGGGUUCCUGUCCAACGUUAAUCGGGGCAGGGUGAGUCGACCCCUAAGGCGAGGCCGAAAGGCGUAGUCGAUGGGAAACAGGUUAAUAUUCCUGUACUUGGUGUUACUGCGAAGGGGGGACGGAGAAGGCUAUGUUGGCCGGGCGACGGUUGUCCCGGUUUAAGCGUGUAGGCUGGUUUUCCAGGCAAAUCCGGAAAACCAAGGCUGAGGCGUGAUGACGAGGCACUACGGUGCUGAAGUGACAAAUGCCCUGCUUCCAGGAAAAGCCUCUAAGCAUCAGGUAACAUCAAAUCGUACCCCAAACCGACACAGGUGGUCAGGUAGAGAAUACCAAGGCGCUUGAGAGAACUCGGGUGAAGGAACUAGGCAAAAUGGUGCCGUAACUUCGGGAGAAGGCACGCUGAUAUGUAGGUGAAGCGACUUGCUCGUGGAGCUGAAAUCAGUCGAAGAUACCAGCUGGCUGCAACUGUUUAUUAAAAACACAGCACUGUGCAAACACGAAAGUGGACGUAUACGGUGUGACGCCUGCCCGGUGCCGGAAGGUUAAUUGAUGGGGUUAGCGGUAACGCGAAGCUCUUGAUCGAAGCCCCGGUAAACGGCGGCCGUAACUAUAACGGUCCUAAGGUAGCGAAAUUCCUUGUCGGGUAAGUUCCGACCUGCACGAAUGGCGUAAUGAUGGCCAGGCUGUCUCCACCCGAGACUCAGUGAAAUUGAACUCGCUGUGAAGAUGCAGUGUACCCGCGGCAAGACGGAAAGACCCCGUGAACCUUUACUAUAGCUUGACACUGAACAUUGAGCCUUGAUGUGUAGGAUAGGUGGGAGGCUUUGAAGUGUGGACGCCAGUCUGCAUGGAGCCGACCUUGAAAUACCACCCUUUAAUGUUUGAUGUUCUAACGUUGGCCCCUAAUCGGGGUUGCGGACAGUGUCUGGUGGGUAGUUUGACUGGGGCGGUCUCCUCCUAAAGAGUAACGGAGGAGCACGAAGGUUGGCUAAUCCUGGUCGGACAUCAGGAGGUUAGUGCAAUGGCAUAAGCCAGCUUGACUGCGAGCGUGACGGCGCGAGCAGGUGCGAAAGCAGGUCAUAGUGAUCCGGUGGUUCUGAAUGGAAGGGCCAUCGCUCAACGGAUAAAAGGUACUCCGGGGAUAACAGGCUGAUACCGCCCAAGAGUUCAUAUCGACGGCGGUGUUUGGCACCUCGAUGUCGGCUCAUCACAUCCUGGGGCUGAAGUAGGUCCCAAGGGUAUGGCUGUUCGCCAUUUAAAGUGGUACGCGAGCUGGGUUUAGAACGUCGUGAGACAGUUCGGUCCCUAUCUGCCGUGGGCGCUGGAGAACUGAGGGGGGCUGCUCCUAGU
rnacentral:rRNA from 1 species